GGGAGUAGUGGAGAACCUUUGGCUACUUACUCUCUUUCACCAUCAAAGCUCCAUCUGAAGAAGAGGGAAUAUGACUCACCAACAGUCUUGUUGGUGUCCUCUCAGCUGGAUAUCCAACUGAGACAUCGUUGGCAAGAUAUGGAAAGGUUGAGCCCUUCUUUUGGAAGCAGAAAGCUUAGGAGUGGCCAACUAGCACGCGACAUCCUUCGCGGGCAUAUCCAGAUGUAUACUUACCCACUAGGGAGCCAAAGAAUAGGAGGCAAGACGUAUUCUGCAAGGAAGUACUUCACAGUGGGGAUCUAAAGGCGCAAGUUGUGGAGCCUGGGUUUAUGGACAGCGAGGUCAAGUACCUAAGAUCGUAUUUAACAAUUAUAGAAAGGCGAAGUUUGUAAUUUUAGUGGGGGUCUUUGGGACAAUUAUGUGAUAAAUGUAGAGUCAAAUGUGCCAAAUAUCAACAAAAAUUUAGACUAUUGUAGGAUCACCUCAUUCCCCAAGCCCUUCCUCUUCCCUGGGCAGCCACUUUCUUAACACAGAAUUGAGCGGCAACCCCAACGUGGGCAUAGUGGCAACAAGUUGGCUGCCUAUGAUUAAUUGGUAUUUGUCUCAUCCCUAAGCACAGCACAGAGAAUCAAAACCCCUAUCCUUCUAGUCACCAUACUAAAUGGGAGUAAACUCCUCUGGCAAGCUUUAUCUUCAUUUUUUAGUAUUAGACACAGAAAGCUUUAGUUACAUACUAGGUUGGUAACAAUAGUGGGCAAAAUGUGCAGCCUCGACCAUGUGUUGCUAGUUUUACUCGUUGCGUCGUAUUAAUUGGAUUUGUUGGGUGUUGUAAGCAUUCUGAGUUCUGGUAUCUUCAAAUCCCAGACAAGUUUGUUACAGACAAGACCUCACGCUGAAGGCUUGAUCCAACUUCAGUAAUUAUAGCUUUCCAUGUGAGCCGGUUGUGCAAUGUCAUUGACACUUGUGGUUACUCAAGUCUUUAUCCGAAUAUUAAUUCUGCGAGUAAUUGCACGAUUGUUGCACUUAUCACUUCAAUUCUGUACAAAUGAUAAAUCAUCUGAUGAGCUUUUUGUUAACCUAUCAGAUUAUUGGAAGAAACAGCAAGAGUACUUUCCGGGAAAAGAUGCUAGUGGCCAAGGUACCAUUAGUUUCAUAUCUGGAAAUGAAUCUGCAUGAGCAAACUACCAUUGAAUUCUAAUCAUACUAAU